rnacentral:rRNA from 1 species
GACGAACGCUGGCGGCGUGCUUAACACAUGCAAGUCGAACGGAAAGGCCCUGCUUUUGUGGGGUGCUCGAGUGGCGAACGGGUGAGUAACACGUGAGUAACCUGCCCUUGACUUUGGGAUAACUUCAGGAAACUGGGGCUAAUACCGGAUAGGAGCUCCUGCUGCAUGGUGGGGGUUGGAAAGUUUCGGCGGUUGGGGAUGGACUCGCGGCUUAUCAGCUUGUUGGUGGGGUAGUGGCUUACCAAGGCUUUGACGGGUAGCCGGCCUGAGAGGGUGACCGGCCACAUUGGGACUGGGAUACGGCCCAGACGCCUACGGGGGGCAGCAGUGGGGAAUAUUGCACAAUGGGCGGAAGCCUGAGGCAGCAACGCCGCGUGCGGGAUGACGGCCUUCGGGUUGUAAACCGCUUUCGCCUGUGACGAAGCGUGAGUGACGGUAAUGGGAAAAGAAGCACCGGCUAACUACGU